AUGAGUUGUGACGGGGUUUGAUGCUGGCAGCCAAUUUUGUUGGAUGCAUGUGCUUGCCCUGACAAUCAUCUUCCAAACACCUGUGCACAUUUUUGAGGGAGUUUCGAGUUGAUUGCUGCUUUUGGCGAUUUUCUUGCAUUCCCUUAAAUCAUUAUACGCUGUUAGCAAAUGCUGAACGUGCUUUGUGCCGCGCAAGGCCAUUAAUAUAUAAUA
rnacentral:misc_RNA from 1 species